UCUGUAACUCCAAUAGGAGCUAGCUCCAACUGAAGUAGAAGUUUGGAGCUAGGAGUUGGAGUUUAGAGCCCUACCAAACGGGGCCUUAUAAAUCAUCGAAUCCAACCGCUCCUGUUGCCCCACGUCUCCCCCGCCUCCCCUUCUCACACCCCCUCACUCCCGAAAUCACGCCGCAUCCACCCGCCUCUCUCUCUCGCUCUUCUCUCCUCUCUCUCUCUCUCUCGCACUCACCCGACGUCGCCCCACCCGCGCGUCGCCGAUUCCCCGUACACGAUUUCUCUCCUCUCCCGCGCCGCCCCUCCAUCGUCGUCGCGUGAAGUCCUCGUCGCCACCGCCGCCAUCGAAUCCUGCCGCCCCGCCAUCGCGCGUGACUCGGCUGCCAUCGAUUCCGACGCCCCGCCAUCGCGCGUGACGCCGUCGACGCCCCUCCAUCGCGCCGCCGUCAAAUCCCGUCUCCAGAUCGACGCCGCUGGUGCCCCUCACUCCAACCGCCAUGGAUCCCCCCUCACCCUCCCAUCCUCUCUCCGCGCACGCCCCCGACCCCGCAGGUCGCAGACGCGACGCCUCCCUCUUCCUCUUGCACGCGCCGCCGCCGCCUUCCACGUCGUUGCCAACGAAUUGGGAUCCACAUUAGGCUUUUGUUCAUCUGGUGUGCGGGCUUUUAGGAGGUUUUUUUUUGUGGGGUUUGCCUUUAGGGUUUUUCUGGGGACAAAAAGUUGA
rnacentral:lncRNA from 1 species